ACAAAUUCUGGGUAAUUGCCAAGAACAAUGAUGAAUUACAUUAAAGAGUGUUGAAAAUACAUAAAGAUAACUUAUGUGUAUCAAGUUUAUAUGAUGUAAUUCCACCCAAGCUGAGAUGAUAUCAUUAAUGAAGAGCACAGAUUCUGUCCUUCAGAAUUUGGCUUUGGUAGUCCUAUAAAAAUUGUAAUAAAGACAAAGGUUCUCAGAUGACAACCUUCUGACCAGGCAGAAUAAUAAAUCAGUACUAACUGGG
rnacentral:lncRNA from 1 species